rnacentral:rRNA from 1 species
GACAGGUGCUGCAUGGCUGUCGUCAGCUCGUGUCGUGAGAUGUUGGGUUAAGUCCCGCAACGAGCGCAACCCUCGCCUUUAGUUGCCAUCAUUCAGUUGGGCACUCUAAAGGGACCGCCGGCGACAAACCGGAGGAAGGUGGGGAUGACCUCUACUCCUCCUGGCCCUUACACCCUGGGCUACACACGUGCUACAAUGGCGGUGACAGAGGGCAACUACUUCCCGAGAAGCGGCUAAUCGCCCAAAAACGUCACGUUUCAGAUUAUACUCUGCAACUCNAGUACAUGAAGGUGGAAUCGCUAGUAAUCGCACAACAACACGCUGCGGGGAAUACAUUCCC